rnacentral:rRNA from 2 species
AACCAAUGGCCCCCUGAACGCGCAUCGCACUCUUGGGACUUCCUGAGAGUAUGUUUGCUUCAGUGCU